AGAAGAUUAACAACAUGUAUGAACAAAAUAAUAAAGAAUUUUACACAAAAGGACAAGAAUCUCCGGAUUCUGAUCAACAAAAAGGAAUGGACUCUGCAAUGAGCAGCUCAGAUCGUAAUGUAAAUGCUCCAACGACAUUAUAAAAACAAUCAGAACAAACCUGGGCAUAUAAGUAGCUUGGUUUCAUAUCUUACAAGCAGAAGAUGAGCAGAUGAAGAGUAUUUACCCAACAAUAUUGCAGUUAUUCCUGCAAUAUCUUCAAAACAAAUUAUUUUUCUAAUAAUACCUGACACUUGGUCUGUGUUAUUUACUAUAUAUUGCAACAUGUGCUUGAUCCUUUUUGUUGUAUGAUUACUUCUUUUAUUGUGUUGUUAUUUUGAAACCCUAUAUUCUAUCCAGCCUUGUGUUCAAAUGCAAAAGAAUUCUCCUUUGUUCGUCUAUCUCUUUCACUCGGUUCUUCUACUCUGAUAUAAACAAUCUAGACAUAUUAAUUACCUUAUUUUUUUCUUGUAAACCAUUGUUUAUUGCACUUUCUUGUAUUGAUCUAUUAUUAGAAUGUAUUAGAUAUCUUGACUGUAAUGGUUAUAAUUUUCCUGCUUGUCUUGUGAUUAGUGUUUGUAGAUUCCUAAAACUAAUAAGACAUAUGAUUCAGCGAUUCUUUCUGUAUUUGGAGACAUCUCAAUAAUCAGCUAUAAUAAAAAUUCUUUGAAAUAAA